AUUGAACGCUGGCGGCAUGCUUUACACAUGCAAGUCGAACGGCAGCGCGGGCUUCGGCCUGGCGGCGAGUGGCGAACGGGUGAGUAAUGCAUCGGAACGUGCCCAGUAGUGGGGGAUAGCCCGGCGAAAGCCGGAUUAAUACCGCAUACGACCUGAGGGUGAAAGCGGGGGACCGAAAGGCCUCGCGCGAUUGGAGCGGCCGAUGUCGGAUUAGCUAGUUGGUGGGGUAAAGGCUUACCAAGGCGACGAUCCGUAGCUGGUCUGAGAGGACGACCAGCCACACUGGGACUGAGACACGGCCCAGACUCCUACGGGAGGCAGCAGUGGGGAAUUUUGGACAAUGGGGGCAACCCUGAUCCAGCCAUGCCGCGUGCGGGAAGAAGGCCUUCGGGUUGUAAACCGCUUUUGUUCGGGAAGAAAACCUCUGGGCUAAUACCCCGGGGGGAUGACGGUACCGGAAGAAAAAGCACCGGCUAACUACGUG
rnacentral:rRNA from 1 species